rnacentral:rRNA from 1 species
CAAAAACAUUUCCUCUUAGAUUAAGAGGUAAGGCCUGCUCACUGAUAUUUUAAAGAGCCGCAGUAUCCUAACUGUGCUAAGGUAGCAUAAUCAUUAGUCUUUUAAUUGGAGACUGGUAUGAAUGGCUUAACGAGAAAUUGACUUUUUUUGUUAUAUAUAUUGAAUUUAAUUUUUUAGUGAAAAAGCUAAAAUUUUUCAGAAAGACGAGAAGACCCUAUAGAGUUUUAUAUUUUAUAAUAUUUUUUCUUACUAGAUUUUUUUAGGCUAAGUAUAAAAAAAAUAUUUUGUUGGGGCGACAUUUAGAUAUAAAAAACUCUUUAUUUUAAAAAUUUCUAUAGAAAUAUGGUUUGAUCCUUUAUAAAAGAUCAAAAGAAAAAAUUACCUUAGGGAUAACAGCGUAAUCUUUUUUGAGAGUUCUAAUCGACAAAAAGGUUUGCGACCUCGAUGUUGGACUAAAAUUUAGGCAGGGUGCAGCAGUUCUGCUUUAAGGUCUGUUCGACCUAUAAUA